GCUGUCUGCAGCGGAGCGCGCGAACUUAACCACUCGGCCACGGAGCCAGCCCCUAAAAUAACCAUUUUUAAGUGAGCAGUUCACAGUAUUGUACAACCAUCUCCCCUGUCUUGUUCCAAAAUGGUUCCUGAGGUCUUCAUUUUGCACUCAUCACAGUUGUGUGUGUCCACCAAAUAAGAGACCUGUUAUUUCUGUAGCUCCCUCUGUUACUGACCGCGGCUUGGUUUAAACUCCCCGGUGUUGUCAGUAAGGCUGCUGCGAACGUCCUGGUGCACACCUUUUAUCAGUGAGUCCGUCUGUUUCCUUACGGCAGGGCCCGGACAGUGGCGCCCCCUCCCACAGCUCGGUUCCCGCUGCCCAGCUCACUCAGGGGGUUAUAUUUACAGCUGAGACCCUGCCUCUGCCACCAAACCACAUAUGCCACCUCACCUGACAGCCCCCUGGGCUGCUCCCAAGCCCCCACAGCACGGCAUGCCCCAAACCCAGCCUGUGCUCUGUCACGCUCUUCUCUCUCUGCGGGGCACCCCCUGCAAUUCUGCCAUUCCCACCAGGAUUCUGAGGUAGCCCAGACACCGCCCGCCCCCGCCCCAGGCAGCCCAGCCGGGGGGUCGGGGACUUCAUCUCCUGAGCGCCUUUCUGACGCCCUGGAAGUUUUCCCUUCACAUCUCUCCAUCACCACAUCAUGGUCCAAGCCACCACUGCCUCUUGCCUGGAACCCUGCUCAGGCUCCCGACUGGACUCUGGGCCCUCCUGUUGCUCCACAGUUCACCCAGAGCCGCAUUUUCAAAACGCAGAUCUGGUCACGUCAGCCCCCCUCCUCCUGUCUCAGAAGCUUUCCAUGACUUUCCCAUUCCUUUUAGGAUGAAGACCCGAGUCCUCGAGGGGCCUGCAGGGCCUGCUUCCUCCACCAUCUCUACAGCUUCUCUGGACUCCAGCCUCCUGGGUCCUCCUCCAGUGCUUGUAUGGACCACAUUCCCUCCCACCACAGGGCCUUUGCACAAGCUGUUCUCUGCCUGCACUCUCUUUCCCCUCUAUUUUUCCUGGUUAAUCUCUACUCACCUUCCUGUCUCCCCUUCUACAGAGAGGCCCUCCCUGGUCCCAGACCAGAUAUGAGCCUUUUUAGUGGAUACUCUUAUUGUACCUUCUUAUAUGAUUAUUUCAUUACUGUCUAUUUUCCCUACCAAAGUAUAAGCCUUAGAGGGCAGGGACAUAAUGAGUAAUCAAGAAAUAUAUGUUGAAUCAGCCAAUGAAAAAACAGUGUACUUACUGGGGCAAAGCACAUGGGCCUUUUAAAGCUCUUGAUAUAUAUUGCCAAAGUGCUUUCUGGGAAGGUGGGAGCAGCGUACACUCCCACACUGUACCUGAGCGUGUCAGUGUAGCCACACCUUUAUCGUAAAUCAACACAUGCAGCAAGGCCUCCGUCAUCUAACAAGUUCAAGCUCGGGGACAGCCACAAGUCAGAGAGCAGUCAGCAGGAGAGAGCUGAGCCAUCAGGGAGGGGGCAGCUGAGCCAUGCUGGAGGAGCAAAGGCGGCCCAGCCCUCCGAGCACCGGCCCCUCUCAGGCUGGAAGACAAGAGCCAGCCCCUGGGGGACCUGUCAAAGCCACAUCUGACCAUUCAUUCUUGGGAACCUGGGGGGACCAGCUGGAGAAAGAACGAGAAAGAAGUUGACAGAAGAGAGAGAAGAAAAUGUGAGCAGAGGCAGCAGAGCUCAGAAACAGAGGCAGAUGGUGGAGGCAGUGCUGGGGGUGGUUGGUGGAGGCAGUGCUGGAGGCGGGGCAGUGCUGGAGGUGGAUGGCGGAGGCAGUGCUGGAGGCAGGGCAGUGCUGGAGGUGGAUGGCGGAGGAGUCUAGAGACUCAGACCUGCUAAUGCAAUGCCAGAAGGUGCAGUAUGGGGACCACAAGAAGGUUCAUUCUGGCGCCUGGGCUGGGAAGACUCAGAGACCAGGACUGCUGGCCAGAGUCCCCUGUGGCCUCCCUGUGGUGGGCUGCUGCUAAGGUGGUCCCAGUGACCCCUGCCUCCCAGAAGGAGAUCCUGGGAUGAUGAGACCCUGAUUCCAUUUGCCAGCAGACUGUCUUUCCUGAGGCUUUGAUGGACUGGCGCUGUGUUGGGAGCCCCAGGUGGGGAGGAACUCAGUUCUGCUGGCUAAAGACUGGGGCCUUCAGGCUAAGAGCCUUCAAGGAGUUGAAUUCCGCCAACAGCCACGCGAGCUUGGACAUGGGUUCUUCCACUUGAACCUUCAGAUGAGACCCAGACUUGGCCAGCACCUUGACUGUAGCCUCUGAGACUCAGUGAAGCCGUGCUGGGACUCCUGACCCACAGAAACUGUGAGGUGAUAAACGCGUGUCAUUUUAAGCCACUAAAUUUGUAAUAACUUGUUAUACAGCAAUAGAUAACUAGCACACCCCCAUGGGCUUGGCCUCCUCUCAAUAUGGAGGUCUCAGGGCCGUCAGACUCUUACCUAGCGGCUCAAGGCUCCAAGUUCGAGGGGUACAAUCCAACCACAAGCCCUCCCAGAUUCAAAGGGAGGGGACACAGGGAGAAGGGCCAAGGUCACACUGGAAGAGCCUGGGGGACGUUGGAUACCGUGGUGCCCACUUUUGGAAAGUAUGCUCUGACACAGCCCGCCCUUGGGCCACAACCCACAUCCCUCCCACGUGCAAAAUAUGCCCCCCAGACCUCAAGAGCCCCGAAGCCCACCCGUCACGGUGUGGGCUCAAACUCGGGGCGCAGGACCUGGCUGCGUGAAUUCUGUCGUGGUGCAGACGAGGUCCUCGCCCGAGGCUGUCUUCCUGAGCCGCUGGCCCAGCCCGCGGAGGCGCGCUGCCUUUACACGAGAAACCGAGUUGCAGCUGCACGGCUUUCUUGGCCGCUUCCUUCCUCUGACGGGCGGGGGCCAGAAGCCUCUGCAUGUCGUCUUGUCUGCGUCCCCUUUAGUCCAAGCUCCUAGUCCCUUUGAAAGCUGGAGGGCUGCCUAUGUGUUCCUUUAAAAUCCACCCCAUGAGAUAAAAACCUCACCCACAAAUCUUUAAAAAAAAAUUAAUAGGCUUUUUUUCUUAGAGCAGUUUUAGGUUUACAGAAAAAUUGAGCGGGGAGUACAGGGUUCCCCUACGCGACCCGCCAUCUUCCCUCCGAUUAACAUCUCACGUUAGUGUGGCGUGUUUGUUGCAAUUGCUGAGUCAAUACCAAUAUAUGUUUAUUGACUACAGCCCACAGUUUACAUCAGGUUCAUCUCGGUGGUGUACUUCUGCGGGUUUUGACGAGUGUAUAAUGUCACGUGUCCACUGUUGCAGUGUGACGCAGGAUAGUUUCUCUGCCCUGAAACUCCCCUGUUCACCCCACACCCCCUCCCGCCGGCCACCCCUGAUCGCUGGGUCCAUAGUGGUGCCUUUUCCAGAGUGUCACACAGCUGGAGUCACACAGCGUGUAGCCUUUUCAGACUGGCUUCUUUCACUUAGCACCACAAACUGGAUUGAGAUAAGCCCUCUCUGCCUUGGGCUCCCCGUGAGGCCGCCACGGGAGAAGACCCUGGAGAGUCUGGAAGACCCACAGUUCAACGGCGGGCGGGCGUGCUCUCAGAGCCUCCAACGCCUUUGUCUGCCCGAGGGGGUUUCUGAGGCACCUUUCCAUUUUUCUCUGAGGUCUUAACAAAAGAUCUUGCAGACCACCUGGACUUCUUUGUUCCUUUACUGGCUGACAAGACUGUUCUGGCCCUUUACCCUUCUCCACAUUUCCACUUGAGAACAGAACGCUUUUCUCUUAGUUCGUCUCUCUUCUUCAUUUUCUCACAGGCAGAGCUGGGCAAUGCCUUCGACAUCCUGCCUGGAAAGGCUGUCUGCUGGCCAUCCAGCUCGCUGGGUCAGUUGCGGGCUAUUUUCUGUGCUACUGCGGGCAGCCGUUCUGCUGAACUUUCUGCCACCAUGUGAGGAAGGCUUCCUUUCCUCCAGGGUCCAACAGCGUGCUCUCUGUUCCCUUCAAGCUCUCACCAGCUUCCCCGAAGGCUCUCAGGCUUCUGCCCAUGGCCUGCCCAAAGCCAGUGCUGCACGACUAGGUUUGGUCACAGAAGCACAGCCCAGCACCGACAUACAGCACCGUCCUGAUCAUUGCAUCCACCUCGCAAGCUGGAUUUCCAGGAAUGUUAUAUGCCCAACAUCACCCCACACAGGGGUUCCUGCUUCCUGGGUGCCCAGGUACCUGUGAGAUAUGACCCACAGGCAGAAAUCUGAGCACUGAGAGAGGGGCCGACCACACAGAGGACACCCAAGGGUCCUCCAUGACCCCAGGGUCCAUCUCCUCGGAGGAUGGAUGUGCACGAGGGCACCUCUGACUUGAGCUAAGUAAAAGGAACGAAGCCGACGAUGUGCCCAUUA